GGCAUGGUAUAGUGGUCUGAGUAUUGGACUAUGACUCUGGAGACCAGGGUUCAAAUCCCUACUUGGCCA
rnacentral:tRNA from 1 species